AGGACGAACGCUGGCGGCGUGCUUAACACAUGCAAGUCGAGCGGAAAGGCCCUUCGGGGUACUCGAGCGGCGAACGGGUGAGUAACACGUGAGCAACCUGCCCUUAGCUCUGGGAUAGCUCCGGGAAACCGGAAUUAAUACCGGAUAUGACCUAGGCCGACAUCGGCCGUGGUGGAAAGUUUUUCGGCUAGGGAUGGACUCGCGGCCUAUCAGCUAGUUGGUGGGGUAAUGGCCUACCAAGGCGACGACGGGUAGCCGGCCUGAGAGGGCGACCGGCCACACUGGGACUGAGACACGGCCCAGACUCCUACGGGAGGCAGCAGUGGGGAUAUUGCGCAAUGGGCGAAAGCCUGACGCAGCGACGCCGCGUGGGGAUGAAGGCCUUCGGGUUGUAAACCCCUUUCAGCAGGGACGAAGCGAAAGUGACGGUACCUGCAGAAGAAGCGCCGGCUAACUACGUGCCAGCAGCCGC
rnacentral:rRNA from 1 species